UACGAAGGGGGCUAACGUUGCUCGGAAUCACUGGGCGUAAAGGGCGCGUAGGCGGCGUUUUAAGUCGGGGGCGAAAGCCUGUGGCUCAACCACAGAAUGGCCUUCGAUACUGGGACGCUUGAGUAUGGUAGAGGUUGGUGGAACUGCGAGUGUAGAGGUGAAAUUCGUAGAUAUUCGCAAGAACACCAGUGGCGAAGGCGGCUCACUGGCCCGAUACUGACGCUGAGGCACGAAAGCGUGGGGAGCAAACAGG
rnacentral:rRNA from 1 species